rnacentral:lncRNA from 1 species
GACUGUUUACAUCCCAGCACACUCAGACAGGGACUGGUAGGAUUUUAAUCAGGCUGCCUUUGAAAAACUUGAUAUUUUUCUCAGAUAUUCCCAAAGUACCAUUUGCUUGAAAGUAGCUAUUUGCGAUCUUUAUUUAAUUUCCUCAUACUGUAAUAUGUAAUACGUAUGCUUUUCAGACUUUCUUUCAUAUGUCCAUUUUAGAGCAGGUUAGUACUUAAAUUUUGGACACUUUUCCGAACUGUUACCCAAACAGGUCAAGAAUAC